rnacentral:rRNA from 1 species
AACGAACGCUGGCGGCAUGCCUAACACAUGCAAGUCGAACGGGAUCCUGACUUCGGUUGGGUGAGAGUGGCGGACGGGUGAGUAACGCGUGGGAACCUGCCCAGUGGUGGGGGGAUAACUGCGGGAAACUGCAGCUAAUACCGCAUGAGCCCGAGAGGGGAAAGAUUUAUCGCCAUUGGAGGGGCCCGCGUUCGAUUAGGUAGUUGGUGAGGUAACGGCUCACCAAGCCUUCGAUCGAUAGCUGGUCUGAGAGGAUGAUCAGCCACACUGGGACUGAGAUACGGCCCAGACUCCUACGGGAGGCAGCAGUGGGGAAUAUUGGACAAUGGGGGGCAACCCUGAUCCAGCAAUGCCGCGUGAGUGAUGAAGGCCUCGGUU